rnacentral:rRNA from 1 species
UGGGGAAUUUUGGGCAAUGGGGGAGACCCUGACCCAGCGACGCCGCGUGAGGGACGAAGGCCCUUGGGUCGUAAACCUCUUUUGCAGGGGAAGAAGAAGAUGACGGUACCUUGCGAACAAGUCCCGGCUAACUACGUGCCAGCAGCCGCGGUAACACGUAGGGGACGAGCGUUGUCCGGAAUUACUGGGCGUAAAGGGCGCGCAGGCUGUGCGUCGAGUCGGCUGUUGAAAGGCGGGGCUCAACCCCGCGAAGCGGUCGAGACCGGCGUGCUGGAGUACUGCAGAGGCAGGCGGAAUUCCCGGUGUAGCGGUGAAAUGCGUAGAUAUCGGGAAGAACACCGGUGGCGAAGGCGGCCUGCUGGGCAGUAACUGACGCUGAGGCGCGAGAGCCAGGGUAGC